rnacentral:lncRNA from 1 species
CCCGCGAGUUUUGUAUGUUCGGCUCUGUUUGGGGGAUUCGGCCGCCGAAGGUGCCGCCGAAGGUUAGAGACUUUCGUCUCUGGAGUGCCUUUUGGCCCCCGAAACUUGCCCCCGAAAGGGUUCGGCCGCCGAAGCUUGAGAUUCGGCCGCCGAAGGUGCUUGAGUUUCGUCUCUGGAGAGGACUUUCGGCCGCCGAACCUGCCGCCGAAAGUGUUCUGUCCAGCUUCCUUUUGCAUGCUUUGCAUGGAUGUUCUUGGGGAAUUUACUGGGGUUAUUCAUAAGCUUGUUUGGUCCCUCAUUUGAGUCCAUCUGUAUAGGUACAGAUCAGAGGAACCAGAGAGAGCAGCAGUGAGUACUGCUCCAGAGUUUCAGCGCCUGCAGAGUCAGUCAGUCCAGAUAGCCGGAGGUGAGUGGAACUAAACUUAAUGUUUUUAAUUGCCUAGUGGACUGUUUUAGCAUAUCUCAUGCAUCAUAAUGCCCUAGGUUGAGUGCAUUAGUAAUCACGAAUAUGUUGCAUUGCAUAGUUAUUUGUUGAUGUGGGUAAAUGUUGAAUGAUCCCAUAGUCACAGACAGGAAGUCCAGGAGCCUUUGACUACGCCCUGGCAGGUAUAGCAAAGACCAGGAGCCUUUGACUACGCCCUGGCAAUGGUAAGUACAGCGGUGUUAUAGACACAUAUACAUAUAUGACAGGAAGACCAGGUGCUCGAUUCUACGCCCUGGCACAGAGCUACUGGGAUUAUGUGGUGACAGGUUUACUCUUGAUGUGGCUUGUCUGUGUUAUGACGCAUUUCAUGAGAUCAUGUUUUACUAAGAUGUUUUACUGUUCUACUCACUGGGCUAUAGAGCUCAUCCCACUCCCUUAACCCCAGUUUUGCAGGUUCAGUGUACAGUGUACAGGGACAGUCCAGCAGGGUACAGAAAGAGUAAAGAGAUUUGUAAUAGCUUAGAGUGGACAUGUAAUAUUAAAGAGCUGUAAUAGUUGUGGCUAAAAGUUANNN